CUGUUCAGAUGCGCUCAUAUGAACCUAAACAAAUCAAUCGCAGAAAAAGAAGUGCGUCUUUUUUAAUCUUUUGGCGGGGAACAUCGGACCCUUAUGUGGAAAAAGGGUCCUAUGUUCCCCGGUCCAUACGAAGCGGGGAACAUCGGUACGCUCCCAGCGGCACUGCAUCCGGUAUGAGGAACCUUUCACGCCGAUGUACAAACACAAUUCUUUCAAGUAUGGCCAUGGGUGUUGGUCUUCAUCACCACCGUCGUCUGUCACCGGCGGAGUGGUAGCAGCAGCCGAUGAACUGGCGGGAGCAGCAGGCGCGUUUGGUGUGCUUUCAUCACCCUCCAGCAACUCGUUACUCGCCAUCUUUACCCGAAGCUCGUCUUCGUCGAUACCACAGACAUAUACACUGGACCCCUCACGACUGGCCUGUUCGUACGUCAGUCUGUCCGCCAUCUUGGGACUGGCGUUUCUGAGGAAUUCAGAGACGAUGCCUCACCACUGCUCGGCUUGGGGUUGUGCAAACCGACAAAAUAAAGACUGUAAACUGCGUGGAAUUACCUUCCACAGGUAAGAGAAAGUGUGUUUGUUGUUGUGUUUAGCUCACAUAAUAUUUGCUUUGGAGAUAGCAUUUUUUACACGGUUCCACUUGACUUAUUUAUUCCGUUGCUAAAGCUAUGCUAACCCGCGGUUUAAACUAACGGAUUCUAUUUAUGUCACAGUGCUUGGAGUUUUACAUUUUGAAAUAAAUUAUUUGCUUUCAACGAAAUGGUCAUAAAUGACGGCUGUUUAAUCACUUUUUUUGGCAUUUGAAGGUUUCCCACCAACAAAUGUGUGAGGAAGCAGCGGGAGGCAGCUCUCCGGAGAGAGGCUUUCGUUGCGACCUCGUACUGGAGGCUCUGCAGCGCUCCGAGGAGAAGGACCUCGACAGGACGGGUCCGACUGUCCGGAUCAGGGAUGGAGUAUCACCAUCUGUAUUCAGCUUCCCAGCUCAUCUCAGAAGAGUCAGUGCAUCACGAGACCGUGGCCACCAGGACGAGCUGGACAUCACAGCAGGCACUGCAGCGCUUCAGAACCAGUUAGUGGAGCGUUCCCCACCUGUUCCCGAAGGAGAACCUCAGCUUGACCCCAGUCUGGUACCUGUCUGUCAUGGGGUUCCUCAUUAACAUUGAUACCCUUCUAUUUAUGAUCCCGGAGCUGCUUCAAAAUCAGCGAUACGUCUGCCCCCAUCGCUUCAGCCAGGAUCAGCUGGAGCUCCUCUAACUCCAUCAGGGCAUCUGGAAGGGAUUUCAGAAAUGUUCUUUCUUUCUCCUUAUGACUGAGAGGGGGCUGGAACAACAAUCCCUCGGCAGCCAGUUCCAGGCUAUGUUCCGCCGCCUCAUGGUCAGCUGGGGUGUGUCUCCUGGA